GAUGAACGCUAGCGGGAGGCCUAACACAUGCAAGCCGAGCGGUAUUUGUUCUUCGGAACAGAGAGAGCGGCGCACGGGUGCGGAACACGUGUGCAACCUGCCUUUAUCUGGGGGAUAGCCUUUCGAAAGGAAGAUUAAUACCCCAUAAUAUAUUGAGUGGCAUCAUUUGAUAUUGAAAACUCCGGUGGAUAGAGAUGGGCACGCGCAAGAUUAGAUAGUUGGUGAGGUAACGGCUCACCAAGUCAAUGAUCUUUAGGGGGCCUGAGAGGGUGAUCCCCCACACUGGUACUGAGACCCGGACCAGACUCCUACGGGAGGCAGCAGUGAGGAAUAUUGGACAAUGGGUUAGCGCCUGAUCCAGCCAUCCCGCGUGAAGGACGACGGCCCUAUGGGUUGUAAACUUCUUUUGUAUAGGGAUAAACCUACUCUCGUGAGAGUAGCUGAAGGUACUAUACGAAUAAGCACCGGCUAACUCCGUG
rnacentral:rRNA from 1 species